rnacentral:tRNA from 1 species
GGGGAUGUAGCUCCAUGGGAGAGCACUUGCCUAGCAUGCAUGAGGUCCUGAGCUCAGUCCCCACUAUCCCCA